rnacentral:rRNA from 1 species
UGGUUAAUAUUCCAGUACUUUUUACAACUGCGAUGCAGUGACGGAGUAGUGACACAUCCGCGUCCUGACGGAAUAGGACGUUAAAGACCGUAGGUAUAGGUUUCAUUGUAAAGUACGUGAGAUUUGCUGAAAGUUGAUAGUACAGCGAGCCUUCGGGUAAGUUGAUAGUGAUAAUCAGACUUCCAAGAAAACCUGCUAAGCUUCAGGUUGUAAAAACCCGUACCGUAAACCGACACAGGUAGUCGAGGAGAGAAUCCUAAGGUGCUCGAGUGAAUCAUGGCUAAGGAACUCGGCAAAAUGGCCCUGUAACUUCGGGAGAAGGGGCGCUGGUAGUAAUGCCAGCCGCAGUGAAAAGGCCCAGGCGACUGUUUAACAAAAACACAUGGCUAUGCAAAAUCGAAAGAUGACGUAUAUGGCCUGACACCUGCCCGGUGCCGGAAGGUUAAGAGGGGAUGUUAGUCGCAAGGCGAAGCAUUGAAUCGAAGCCCCGGUAGACGGCGGCCGUAACGAUAACGGUCCUAAGGUAGCGAAAUUCCUUGUCGGGUAAGUUCCGACCUGCACGAAUGGUGUAACGAUCUGGGCGCUGUCUCAGCCAUGAGCUCGGUGAAAUUGUGGUAUCGGUGAAGACGCCGGUUACCCGCAACGGGACGGAAAGACCCCAUGCACCUUCACUACAACUUAACAUUGAUAUCGGCUACAGGAUGUGUAGGAUAGGUGGGAGACUGUGAUCUGGCUUCGCUAGGAGUCAGUUAGUCAACGUUGAAAUACCACCCUUUCUGUAUUUGGUGUCUAACUCUAUACAAUGGAGGACAUUGUUUGGCGGGUAGUUUGACUGGGGUGGUCGCCUCCAAAAAGGUAACGGAGGCUUUCAAAGGUAAGCUCAGUACGCUUGGUAACCGUACGUGGAGUGCAAUAGCAUAAGCUUGCUUGACAGUGAGACAGACAAGUCGAGCUGGGUCGAAAGACGGAUAUAGUGAUCCGGUGGUUCUGCAUGGAAGGGCCAUCGCUCAAAGGAUAAAAGGUACGCUGGAUAACAGGCUGAUCUCCCCCAAGAGCUCAUACCGACGGGGAGGUUUGGCACCUCGAUGUCGGCUCGUCACAUCCUGGGGCUGGAGAAGGUCCCAAGGGUUGAGCUGUUCGCUCAUUAAAGUGGCACGCGAGCUGGGUUCAGAACGUCGCGAGACAGUUCGGUCCCUAUCUGUUGUGGGCGUUGGAAGUUUGAGUGGGGCUGACCUUAGUACGAGAGGACCGGGUUGGACUAACCUCUGGUGAAUCUGUUAUGCCGCCAGGUGUACUGCAGAGUAGCUACGUUGGGAAUAGAUAAGCGCUGAAAGCAUCUAAGUGCGAAACUAGCCACAAGAUGAGACUUCCAUUGAGGGUCGUAGCAGACUACUACGUUGAUAGGUUACAGGUGUAAAGGUGGUGACAUCAUAGCCGAGUAAUACUAAUUGCUC